UACGUAGGGGGCAAGCGUUAUCCGGAUUUACUGGGUGUAAAGGGAGCGUAGACGGCAAUGCAAGUCUGGAGUGAAAGGCGGGGGCCCAACCCCCGGACUGCUCUGGAAACUGUAUAGCUGGAGUGCAGGAGAGGUAAGUGGAAUUCCUAGUGUAGCGGUGAAAUGCGUAGAUAUUAGGAGGGACACCAGUGGCGAAGGCGGCUUACUGGACUGUAACUGACGUUGAGGCUCGAAAGCGUGGGGAGCAAACAGG
rnacentral:rRNA from 1 species